AUUGUCUCUCACUUGCUUGGACGUUGACUUUGUUCAUAAAUUGCCUCAAUUUAUGCAUCGUCCCACUAUCCAACAUUUGUUCACUAUUAAAUGUCUCCUCCACCAUUUGCGUGGUACCAUCACUCAUAGCUUGUUAAUUUCUUCAUCGACAUUCCUCGAUGUCCCUUGAAGGAUUUUCUAACAUAGAUUUGGGUAGAUAACAUUGAUGAUCACAACAUCCACUAUGCUUGUGUUCCUAGUCCUAAUCCUAUAUUUUGGAGUUCAAAGAAACCACACUUCUUUGCUUGCUCUUCCACCAAAGUGGAGUACCUGUACCAAGUUGUUGCCUUCAUCACCU
rnacentral:lncRNA from 1 species